CCUAGUGAUGUACAAGUUGCUAAGGGUCGGAUUGUUCACCCGUAUUAGGGAUCGUGAGCUGGGUUUAGACCGUCGUGAGCCAGGUUUGUUUUAUCCUACUGGAUAUAGCAUCAUGAUAGUAGAUUGAUUUAGUACGAGAGGAACUGUUGAUUAUGGCCUCUGGUUAGCGAUUAUCGGAAACGGUAUGUCGCGCAGCUACGCCGUCUGGGAUAAUGGCUGAAAGCCUCUUAAGCCAGAAGCCCAUCUAGAAAGUGAUGCACGUGAUGUUGGACCGAUACGAAUAAUCAUACUCAAAAGGUCCGCUUCAUAGGUAACCCAAUGUAGAAGACAUUGUGUGAACGAAGGUACUGUAAGCAGUGGAGUGGCAUUACGUCCACGACCUGUUGAGGUUCAGCUUCGCUUCUAGGUUUCC
rnacentral:ncRNA from 1 species